UACGGGGGGGGCAAGCGUUGUUCGGAAUUACUGGGCGUAAAGGGCUCGUAGGUGGCCAACUAAGUCAGACGUGAAAUCCCUCAGCUUAACUGGGGAACUGCGCCUGAUACUGGAUGGCUUGAGUUUGGGAGAGGGAUGCGGAAUUCCAGGUGUAGCGGUGAAAUGCGUAGAUAUCUGGAGGAACACCGGUGGCGAAGGCGGCAUCCUGGACCAACACUGACACUGAGGAGCGAAAGCCAGGGGAGCAAACAGG
rnacentral:rRNA from 1 species